rnacentral:rRNA from 1 species
CUGUCUCAGUUCGGAUUGGAGGCUGAAACCCGCCUCCAUGAAGUUGGAUUCGCUAGUAAUCGCGCAUCAGCCAUGGCGCGGUGAAUACGUUCCCGGGCCUUGUACACACCGCCCGUCAAGCCAUGGGGAGCCGGGGGUGCCUGAAGUUCGUGACCGCAAGGAGCGACCUAGGGCAAAACUGGUGACUGGGGCUAAGUCGUAACAAGGUACC